ACAGCAGACCGGUUUGUCGCGUCGUUGGAAACGAUGACGAGGAAAGUCCGGGCACCACAGAGCAACACAGCGGCUAAUGACCGUCAGGCAGUAAUGUUUGGUCCCUGCUACAGAGACGAGUAAUGUGAAACGAGCAUACUGUGUGGUGCAAUUCCAUGUAAACCUACGUUAGAGUCUUGCUCGGGCGAGUGGGAGGGUAGGAAGCGCAAGAACAGUGCAGCAAUGCACUCGUCCAGAUUAAUGACAAACACGCCUCACGGCGCACAGAACCCGGCUUAUAGGUCUGCUGUUUUU
rnacentral:RNase_P_RNA from 1 species